GGCCUGGGUAUUGUUUCCUAAGCAAGAGCAGUUACCUGUCUGUGUGGUGAGAAAAAAAUCACCUCUCAAGCUAGGAAAAUUAAAGAUCCCUGGAGGAACCCCUGAGUGACCCAUGUGCUGUCCCCAUGGCUGACAUUCUAAGUCUCCUACCUCCAACAACUUCCUCUCUUCGAUAAAAGUGUCCUGGGUCAGUGAGAUAGCAUGGAGAGUGACCUGAAGGACAGCACCUCCCAGGAGGGUAGGAUGGGUCCCAAAUUCCCAAGAUUCCCUGAAGAUGCCAGCAUUCAGAGACUUGAAGAAGAAGGUGAAGUGUUUGGUUUCCCCAGGCAGAAUCACACCUGAGAGAGACAGAGGCAGAGGCUGUGAUGAUAGGCUGGCCAAACCACCAGUCUACGUGCAGAAAGCGCACUGCAGCCCAGCCCACAUCUGGUCACCAGCCAGCCAUCCCUGCUUCUCAGGACCAUAAGGUUUCCUGGAGUGGGUGACUUUGAGUGUUACAGCUGGGAAAGAGCGAGUCAGUCAGGAACAGCUGGUCAUCCUGGCCCCAGGUCUGUGCUCCCUGAACGGCUCCUCCUGCUCUGCAUUCUCAAGAAUUCUCUUGUUUUCUCAACAAAUGUGAGUAGUUAGACCACACACUUCAUGAGAGAAACCAGAGAGUCAAGGCAGAAAGAGGGGAGAGACCGGUCUUGGAAAAAAUUCAUCUGGGGCUGCCGUCGCCAGUCAUACCAAAUGGCCACAGUGCCGUUAUUGACCACAGUUAGUUCUGAAGAUGUUUUCUCCCCUUCGAGGGUCUCAAAUGUCAGGCGAACACCAAUUCCAAUGGUUUGCUGUGGGAGGAAGUGGGUACAAGCACUGUGCUGGCUAGAAGUUUCGCCCUAGGGUGGCCAAGUCAUCCCUGUUUCCUAUGACUUCUCUGAAAGUCCAGUGUUGACACUGUUCCUCUGGGCUUGGUCACCCUGAGUGGUGUCAACCCUACACCGGUAAUUGCCUCUGAGGUUAUCACCAACACUAAGAAGAGAAGUAUUUGACACCCGGUAUUGUUUUUGCUCCUUAGCAUCUGAAGAAUGUUCUAGAACUGGUAUUGGGGAGGUGACUCAGAGGUUAGUUUGCAAGCCCAAAGACUGGAGAUCUGAUCUCCAGAAGCCA